rnacentral:rRNA from 1 species
UACACUCCUACGGGAGGCAGCAGUGGGGAAUUUUGGACAAUGGGCGAAAGCCUGAUCCAGCCAUGCCGCGUGCAGGAUGAAGGCCUUCGGGUUGUAAACUGCUUUUGUACGGAACGAAACGGCCUUUUCUAAUAAAGAGGGCUAAUGACGGUACCGUAAGAAUAAGCACCGGCUAACUACGUGCCAGCAGCCGCGGUAAUACGUAGGGUGCAAGCGUUAAUCGGAAUUACUGGGCGUAAAGCGUGCGCAGGCGGUUAUGUAAGACAGUUGUGAAAUCCCCGGGCUCAACCUGGGAACUGCAUCUGUGACUGCAUAGCUAGAGUACGGUAGAGGGGGAUGGAAUUCCGCGUGUAGCAGUGAAAUGCGUAGAUAUGCGGAGGAACACCGAUGGCGAAGGCAAUCCCCUGGACCUGUACUGACGCUCAUGCACGAAAGCGUGGGGAGCAAACAGGAUUAGAAACCCUGGUAGUCCCA